CCUUCUCCAAAAUGGGGCCCGCCGAGAGAGGACUGGAAACUGGGGGUACGAAGUUUCAAUAUGGCGGAAGUGUAGAGAGAAAUGUGCUGCAGACUGGAAACUUCGAGAGAUCUAUUUUAGAGUUUGCAAAUAAGUGGCUCGAAAGCAAGAAGGGAAGGAAAAAAGGAGACAAGUACUACCUGGAAACAUACCUCGAGAACAUCAAAAUAUUGUUUUCUGAGGAUUGCUGCGUUGUAAAAGCAAGAUGUUAUCGCUCGAUGAGGAAAACCGAAGCACCACAUAAACUAAGAAUUGUAUUUGAUGGUUCCGAAGAAGACAGCAUUGAAGUUACCACUCAAUGUUCAUGUAAAGCUGGAACUGGGAAAUGCCAACAUUUAGCUGCUUUGUUUACACAUGUAACGGUAAAAUUACACGAUGACAACUCUCCAACCUCCCAUCCACAACAGUGGCAUAAACCUCGAGGUCCUUCGCUAGAGCCACAAAGAUGGUUUGCUUCCGAGUUUGUGAAACCAUAAAUAGAUCGAAAGCCUUGCGAAAUAGCACCUAAGACUGUACAGGAGUAUUUAUACGAUCCCAGACCUAUCAAACAACAGCUGAUUACCGAAAGACAUGUUCAACACCUUGGAGAAAACAUCUCAGUUGAGAGUCCUACCACUUAUGCUUCUUGGCUUUGAUACUCUAACUCAGCAACCCACAAGUCCCUUCCAUGGGGGAAUUCUUUAGAAGGCUGUCCUUUAGCAAAUCAGUUAAGGGAUAUAUAUCCUCCGAGCUUUGUAGAUACUGUUUACAGUGAGGACCUUGAGGCAGUGUUUGACUUUCCCGUAGAAAUUACUUUACCAGAACAUGUUAGGAAAGGGCCACCACCAACAGUGCCAGAAGAAGAAAAACCCUUCCUAUCAAAUGUCAUGUUAUCUCAAGAAAAAGUGUUGGAAAUUAAGAAGAAUACGAGAAGUCAGUCCAGUUGCUCAACUUGGCACCAAGAGCGAGCAUUCAGAAUAACUGCUUCAAGAUUCGGUGAAGUUGUUUCUAGAAAAGCACCAGUUAAUGAUAGGUUCUUACAUACUUUAUUUUCAUCAACAAAGGUGCAGACUGAGGCCAUGAAAUAUGGUCUAGACAUGGAACCAAUGGUUGUCAAAGAGUUCAAGGAAUUAUCAGGCCCUCAAGUAGAAGUUUUCAAAUGUGGGUUGUUGAUUCAUCCUGACAUUUACUGGAUGGGUUGUUCGCCUGAUGGUAUUAUUUAUGAUCCUAAUGAGAAUCCAUCGGUUGGAAUUCUGGAAAUUAAGAGCUUGUUUUCGAUAAAGGGAAAGUCAAUUGAGGAAUGCUUAGAACUUAAAAGGGACAUUUGUAUUCAUCGAGAUAAAAAUGGAGAAAUAAGACUCAAACAUAACCAUAAGUAUUACUUUCAGCUACAAGGCCUAAUGGAAAUAUCAGGGUUGUUGUGGAGCAAAUUUUGUAUCCAUUCUAAGGAGGGGUCAGAAAAUCUGUUUGUACAAAAAAUUGAAUUUGAUCCUGGAGUUUUUCACAAAGUCACUUCCAAAGUUCAUGAACUUUAUUUUUCUCACUGCUUGCCUUAUUUUUUGAGGCAAUAA